GGGGUGCUUUUAUUAAAUCAAAACCAAACGACCUUGCGUCCUUUUUUGGUGACUCUGAAUAACUUUUUGCGGAUCGCAYGGCCUUGUGCCGGCSACGUAUCAUUCUAASGUGUGCCCUAUCAACUGUCGACUGUGGCAUAGUCGCCCACACUGGUUUUGACGGGUAACGGGGAAUCAGGGUUCGAUUCCGGASAGGGAGCCUGAGAAACGGCUACCACUUCUAASGAAGGCAGCAGGCGCGCAAAUUACCCAUUGGUCGCASACCGAGGUAGUGACGAAMAAUAACGAUACCAGACUCAUUYGAGGCCUGGUAAUCGGAAUGAGUACACUUUAACUCCUUUAACAAGGAACUAUUGGAGGGCAAGUCUGGU
rnacentral:rRNA from 1 species